GAUGAACGCUGGCGGCGUGCCUAAUACAUGCAAGUCGAGCGAAGCGGGGACGGGUGAGUAACACGUGGAUAACCUCCUAUAAGACUGGGAUAACUUAGGGAAACCGGAGCUAAAACGGAUGCUUAUAGAUGGAUCCGCGCUGCAUUAGCUAGUUUGUAAGGUAACGGCUUACCCAGGCAACGAUGCAUAGCCGACCUGAUAGGUUGAUCGGCCACACUGGAACUGAGACACUGUCCAGACUCCUACGGAAGGCAGCAGUCGGGAAUCUUCCGCAAUGGGCGAAAGCCUGACGGAGCAACGCCGCGUGAGUGAUGAAGGUCUUCGGAUCGUAAAGCUCUGUUAUUAGGGAAGCGGUACCUACUCAGACAGCCACGGCUAACUCCGUGCCAGCAGGCGCGGUAAUUC
rnacentral:rRNA from 1 species